UCCCUGCUUUCCAUCAGCGGGGGUUACUGAAGAGGCACACCUUCAUUGCCGGAAGUGCGGUUGGGAAUCCCCCUCCAAUCCAUGGCAGACAAAGCCGGAUCCAUGUCGCUUUCGCGGCGUUGAUUCAUCAUUCGCGCUAUCAAGCGCUUGCUAAGGU
rfam:Rhizobium sp. R72 R711_NODE_13, whole genome shotgun sequence.